AUUGAACGCUGGCGGCAUGCCUUACACAUGCAAGUCGAACGGCAGCACGGGUGCUUGCACCUGGUGGCGAGUGGCGAACGGGUGAGUAAUACAUCGGAACGUACCUUAUCGUGGGGGAUAACGCAGCGAAAGCUGUGCUAAUACCGCAUACGCCCUGAGGGGGAAANCGGGGGACCGCAAGGCCUCGCGCGAGAAGAUGAGCCGAUGUCCGAUUAGCUAGUUGGUGAGGUAAAGGCUCACCAAGGCGACGAUCGGUAGCUGGUCUGAGAGGAUGAUCAGCCACACUGGAACUGAGACACGGUCCAGACUCCUACGGGAGGCAGCAGUGGGGAAUUUUGGACAAUGGACGCAAGUCUGAUCCAGCCAUUCCGCGUGCAGGAUGAAGGCCCUCGGGUUGUAAACUGCUUUUGUACGGACGAAAAGGUUUCUCUUAAUACUAGGGCUCAUGACGGUACCGUAAGAAUAAGCACCGGCUAACUACGUGCCAG
rnacentral:rRNA from 1 species